UGUGGUGGAUUCCUGUGUUUCUGAACUUUCCGUGUUGCAAAUUUUUGUGUUGGUUUCAUCUGAUGAAGCUUCCAAACAUUUGAAAAGCCAUUUGUGAUUUUUUGUGUCGUUAAUUAUAUUAACCUGAACGGGGAGAUGACAAGUUGACAAUAGGCUGGUCUCAUUGAUUAAACCAUGUAUGUGUAAAACAAACUGUUUUCACGACGAUGUCUGUCAUGUGUCAUUGUUUUACGUGCUUUUAUUCAACUUACAUUUUGGUUUAAAUGUUCUUUUUCUUUUUUUAAUACACGCACAAAAACUUCAACUGAAUUGCUUGAAGUGCUUUUAUUAGAACAAAAACCGAACGGCGUUUGACGAAUGUUGAACGUCGAAACUGUUUGGUGAAUCUGAAUAACUAUUUCUGAUCGCAUGGUCUAGCACCGGCGACAUCACUUUCAAGUGUCUGCCUUAUCAACCUUCGAUGGUAGUCUAUGCGACUACCAUGGUGAUAACGGGUAACGGAGAAUCAGGGUUCGACUCCGGAGAGGGAGCCUGAGAAACGGCUACCACAUCCAAGGAAGGCAGCAGGCGCGCAAAUUACCCACUCCCAGCUUGGGGAGGUAGCGACGAAAAUUAACGAGACUAUUCUCGUUUG
rnacentral:rRNA from 1 species